GCUUGGAUGAUCUGGGCUGGUGCCUGGCUAGGACUUCAAAUCCUAGGGAGGCUAGCGCCUCAGGCGUUCGAUUCGCCCUUCUGAGCG